rnacentral:lncRNA from 1 species
CUACCAGCAAACAGAUGUAGAGACCAGCACAACGGCACUUAGAAAUGUCUGGAAGGAGUGAGACGAUGAGGAGAAAUUGGUGCUUGGAUACUUUGUGUAACAUGCUUAAAGUCACGUUAAAACUAACACAAACAAUGUCAAGAGCCUCAGUUCUUAAUACUGAAAUUAGGAAGCCAUUGAGGACAGGGUCAUCAAUGACUCAGUUACUGAGCCAUUCCCUGGGAAUAACAUCUGGACUAAACAUAAUCUUUAUCAUCAAGGACCUCUCAUUAUUCAGUGGAGUAAAGACACGGGGAAAUGGGGAAUUUUCAUGCAGUCGUUAGAGGUAAGAGCUGAAAAUGUUAGGUAUAUGGUGCUAUGGGAGUCCUUGUUGGUGGGUCAAGAAAACACU